rnacentral:rRNA from 1 species
UGGGGAAUUUUAGACAAUGGGCGAAAGCCUGAUCCAGCAAUGCCGCGUGUGUGAAGAAGGCCUUCGGGUUGUAAAGCACUUUUGUCCGGAAAGAAAUCCUUGGCUCUAAUACAGUCGGGGGAUGACGGUACCGGAAGAAUAAGCACCGGCUAACUACGUGCCAGCAGCCGCGGUAAUACGUAGGGUGCAAGCGUUAAUCGGAAUUACUGGGCGUAAAGCGUGCGCAGGCGGUUUGCUAAGACCGAUGUGAAAUCCCCGGGCUCAACCUGGGAACUGCAUUGGUGACUGGCAGGCUAGAGUAUGGCAGAGGGGGGUAGAAUUCCACGUGUAGCAGUGAAAUGCGUAGAGAUGUGGAGGAAUACCGAUGGCGAAGGCAGCCCCCUGGGCCAAUACUGACGCUCAUGCACGAAAAGCGUGGGGGAGCAAAACAGGAUUAGAUACCCCUGGUAGUCCACGCCCUAAACGAUGUCAACUAGUUGUUGGGGAUUCAUUCCUUAGUAACGUAGCUAACGCGUGAAGUUGACCGCCUGGGGAGUACGGUCGCAAGAUUAAAACUCAAAUGAAUUGACGGGGUCAUAGCUGUUUCCU